GAGGAAAAGAAACUAACAAGGAUUCCCCUAGUAACUGCGAGUGAAGCGGGAAAAGCUCAAAUUUAAAAUCUGGCGGUUUCACCGUCCGAGUUGUAAUUUAGAGAAGUGUUAUCCGCGCUGGACCGUGUACAAGUCUCCUGGAAUGGAGCGUCAUAGAGGGUGAGAAUCCCGUCUUUGACACGGACUACCAGGGCAUUGUGAUACGCUCUCAAAGAGUCGAGUUGUUUGGGAUUGCAGCUCAAAAUGGGUGGUAAAUUCCAUCUAAAGCUAAAUAUUGGGGAGAGACCGAUAGCGAACAAGUACCGUGAGGGAAAGAUGAAAAGAACUUUGGAAAGAGAGUUAAACAGUACGUGAAAUUGCUGAAAGGGAAACGCUUGAAGUCAGUCGCGUCGUUCAGGAUUCAGCUUUAGCAUCUGCUUUGUGCAUUUCCUGUUUGACGGGUCAGCAUCAGUUUUGGCCGGUGGAUAAAGGUUCAGAGAAUGUGGCAUCCUCGGAUGUGUUAUAGCUCUGGGUYGCAUACAUCGGCUGGGACUGAGGAACUCAGCACGCCGCAAGGCCAGGUUUCGACCAUGUUCGUGCUUAGGAUGCUGGCAUAAUGGCUUUAAUCGACCCGUCUUGAAACACGG
rnacentral:rRNA from 1 species